AGCCUACGGGAGGUAGCAGUGAGGAAUAUUGGUCAAUGGGCUUACGCCUGAACCAGCCAAGUCGCGUGAGGGAAGACUGCCCUAUGGGUUGUAAACCUCUUUUGUCAGGGAGCAACGCCGGCUACGUGUAGCCGGACUGAGAGUACCUGAAGAAAAAGCAUCGGCUAACUCCGUGCCAGCAGCCGCGGUAAUACGGAGGAUGCGAGCGUUAUCCGGAUUUAUUGGGUUUAAAGGGUGCGUAGGCGGAAUGCCAAGUCAGCGGUAAAAUCGCGUGGCCCAACCCCAUCCCACCGUUGUAACUGGCG
rnacentral:rRNA from 1 species